rnacentral:RNase_P_RNA from 1 species
AAUUUCGGGUAAUUGCGGUUUAGCUUGACUAAACUGAGGAAAGUCCAUGCUCGCACAAGCUGCGAUGCUUGUAGUGUUCGUGCCUGGCGAAAUCAUAAGCCAGGGCCUCUAUUUAACGAUAGAGAGACGGCAGAAAAAAGAGCUAAGGUUGUGAAACUAUGCUUGAGUAUUCUUGAAAGUGCCACAGUGACGAAGCAAUACGGGAAACGGUAUUGGUGGAACGCGGUAAACCCCUCGAGCGAGCAACCCAAACUUUGGUAGGGGCACUUUUCCUAGGGAAUUGAACCGAUGGAAGAGGCAGUAAUUGCAGACAGAUAAUUACCUCCGGAUAAAACAGACCUGACUUUUUAUCUGAGACAGAACAUGGCUUACAGAA